CGGCGGGCUUCGAGACGGUUGGGUUUGGAUUGUUGUACUUUUUUUUUUGUUCGUUUUAUUUUUAGGAACAAAAAAAAAAGCCCAACCCUUCACACCGCUUCACCUGCGUCUCUCAAGGA
rnacentral:precursor_RNA from 12 species